rnacentral:rRNA from 1 species
AUUGAACGCUGGCGGCAGGCCUAACACAUGCAAGUCGAACGGUAACAGGAAGAAGCUUGCUUCUUUGCUUACGAGUGGCGGACGGGUGAGUAAUGUCUGGGAAACUGCCUGAUGGAGGGGGAUAACUACUGGAAACGGUAGCUAAUACCGCAUAACGUCGCAAGACCAAAGAGGGGGACCUUCGGGCCUCUUGCCAUCGGAUGUGCCCAGAUGGGAUUAGCUAGUAGGUGGGGUAACGGCUCACCUAGGCGACGAUCCAUAGCUGGUCUGAGAGGAUGACCAGCCACACUGGAACUGAGACACGGUCCAGACUCCUACGGGAGGCAGCAGUGGGGAAUAUUGCACAAUGGGCGCAAGCCUGAUGCAGCAAUGCCGCGUGUAUGAAGAAGGCCUUCGGGUUGUAAAGUACUUUCAGCGGGGAGGAAGGGAGUAAAGUUAAUACCUUUGCUCAUUGACGUUACCCGCAGAAGAAGCACCGGCUAACUCCGUG